rnacentral:rRNA from 1 species
UACGUAGGAUGCAAGCGUUGUCCGGAAUUAUUGGGCGUAAAGAGUUCGUAGGCGGUUUAUUAAGUCAGUGGUGAAAGACCGAGGCUCAACCUCGGAAAUGCCUUUGAUACUGGUAGGCUUGAGGACGGCAGAGGAAAGUGGAAUUCCAAGUGUAGCGGUGAAAUGCGUAGAUAUUUGGAGGAACACCAGUGGCGAAAGCGACUUUCUGGGCCGUAACUGACGCUGAGGAACGAAAGCGUGGGGAGCAAACAGG